UGAAUACGAGACGCUAAGGCGUCGAAGUAGUGUAUGUCAUACUUCCAGGAAAAGCUUGCACUGUCAUAAGUAAAAAAUGCCUGUACCAUAACCGACACAGGUGGGUAGGUAGAGUAUACUAAGGGGCGCGAGAUAACUCUCUCUAAGGAACUCGGCAAAAUAACUCCGUAACUUCGGGAGAAGGAGUACCUUAUUCUAUAAGGUUGCAAUAACAAGAUCCAAGCAACUGUUUAUCAAAAACACAGGUCUCCGCUAAGUCGUAAGACGAUGUAUGGGGGCUGACGCCUGCCCAGUGCCAGAAGGUUAAAGAAGUCGGUUAGCAUUAGCGAAGCUGGUAACUGAAGCCCUGGUGAACGGCGGCCGUAACUAUAACGGUCCUAAGGUAGCGAAAUUCCUUGUCGGGUAAGUUCCGACCCGCACGAAAGGCGUAAUGAUUUGGAUACUGUCUCGGAGAGGGGCUCGGUGAAAUAGACUUGUCUGUGAAGAUGCGGACUACCUGCACCAGGACAGAAAGACCCUAUGAAGCUUUACUGUAACUUGAAAUUGAAAUUGGACUUUAUUCGCGCAGUAUAGGUGGGAGGUGUUGAUUAUAAUCUUGCGGGAUUAUUGGAGCCAUCAGUGAGAUACCACUCUUGUAAUGUUAGAUUUCUAACUUUGAAUCAUUAUCUGGUCAAAGGACAGUUUCAGGCGGGCAGUUUGACUGGGGCGGUCGCCUCCCAAACGGUAACGGAGGCGUACAAAGGUUUCCUCUGAACGGGUAGAAAUCGUAUCUAGAGUGUAAAGGCAUAAGGAAGCUUGACUGUGAGACCUACAAGUCUAACAGGGACGAAAGUCGGUCUUAGUGAUCUGACGGUACUGAGUGGAAAGGCCGUCACUCAACGGAUAAAAGUUACUCUAGGAUAACAGGCUGAUCUCCCCCAAGAGUUCACAUCGACGGGGAGGUUUGGCACCUCGAUGUCGGCUCAUCGCAUCCUGGGGCGGUAGUACGUCCCAAGGGUUGGGCUGCUCGCCCAUGAAAGCGGUACGCGAGCUGGGUUCAGAACGUCGUGAGACAGUUCGGUCCAUAUCCGGUGUAGGCGUUAGAAUAUUGAGAGGAGCCUUCUUUAGUACGAGAGGACCGAGAAGGACAUACCUCUGGUGUACCAGUUAUCGUGCCAACGGUAAACGCUGGGUAGCUAUGUAUGGAGUGGAUAACCGCUGAAAGCAUCUAAGUGGGAAGCCCACCUCAAGAUAAG
rnacentral:rRNA from 1 species